AGAAUUUUGGAUUAAAUAUUCUUUUCGUCGUUAUAAAUUGGCACGUUUUUGGCUUUAGUCUCUGUAACCUAAUAUAUUUUUUUGGUUUUACUCCCUAAUUCUGGGUUUGAAUUCAUAUAUUCAUGUCCAACCUUCAUACAAACCCAAAAAAAAAUCAGAUCGAUGAGAACAUAUGUGUUUGUUUAUGAGGUAUUCAUGUAUGUUUAUUUAGUGCUCCACCAUUUCAAACC
rnacentral:lncRNA from 1 species